rnacentral:rRNA from 1 species
ACUAAAUAGAUACCCAGGUAGUCCACGCCCUAAACGAUGUCUACUAGUUGUUGGUGGAGUAAAAUCCAUGAGUAAACGCAGCUAAACGCGUGAAGUAGACCGCCUGGGGAGUACGGUCGCAAGAUUAAAACUCAAAGGAAUUGACGGGGCCGGCACAAGCGGUGGAUUAUGUGGAUUAAAUUACGAUGCAACGCGAAAAACCUUAACCUUGGCCGUUGACAUGCCACUAACGAAGCAGAGAUGCAUUAGGUGCCGUAACGGGAAAGUGGACACAGGUGCUGCAUGGCUGUCGUCAGCUCGUGUCGUGAGAUGUUGGGUUAAGUCCCGCAACGAGCGCAACCCUUGCCAUUAAUUGCCAUCA